rnacentral:rRNA from 1 species
UGGGCCCGCGUUUCAUUAGCUAGUUGGUGGGGUAAUGGCCUACCAAGGCGACGAUGGUUAGCUGGUCUGAGAGGAUGAUCAGCCACACUGGAACUGGAACACGGUCCAGACUCCUACGGGAGGCAGCAGUGAGGAAUUUUGCGCAAUGGGGGAAACCCUGACGCAGCAACGCCGCGUGAGCGAAGAAGGCCUUCGGGUCGUAAAGCUCUGUCAAGUGGGAAAAAAAUCUUUUGAUCAAUAGUCAAAAGACUUGAUGGUACCACUGGAGGAAGCACCGGCUAACUCCGUGCCAGCAGCCGCGGUAAUACGGAGGGUGCAAGCGUUGUUCGGAAUCACUGGGCGUAAAGGGUACGUAGGCUGUUUUGCAAGUCAGAAGUGAAAG